ACAGACUCUGGUAACUCAACUGAUGCUCCAGAUAACCAGCAGUCUACAGGAGCAGAGCUCGGGAUUACACUGUGUGUGUGCCUGGUCUCUAUCCUAAUAAACUUCAUCUGCAUGUUUGUGUUUUGCUGCAAACUCAAAGAAAAGUCAAGGGAAAAGGAGUCAUGCAGUUGCUUCAGAAACACCACAGACCCAAGUCAAAAGGAAGAAAACAUUCAUUAUGCCAGUGUCCAACACAACAGAGGUUCCAGAGCUGCUGCUAAGAAAAACACAUCAUCAGAUGAAGACAGUGUGACCUACGUUACAGUUGCCCCACAGCCUCGG